AAGACUAUACUUUCAGGGAUCAUUUCUAUAGUUCUUGACUUGAGAAAUGUGUUUCUAAAGUGAUUGGUCUCGCUAACCACGAUGAAGAGAGGUGAUAUUCCUUCCUGAGCGUGAAGCUGGCUUUGAAUAAUGAUUCCGGUCAUAAGUUCUCUGCCAUUGAUGAACGUUCGCAGCUUCGUUAAGGAGCAGUGAGGGAAGGAAUAUGAUCAGAGUGGU